rnacentral:lncRNA from 1 species
UUUAUUGUUUAAUGGUAUGGUAGAUAUCAAUCUGCUUCCAUUUAGGAAAAGAAAAGCAGUGGUUUUGUUGUGAAAACUGCUUUAUGUGAUGUGAUAAGAGCUCAUAUUCCCAUCUGGCAAGAGGGAGCAGAACAUUCAAAUUAUUUUAGCUAGCCCUGUGUUACUAGUGGGAAAGGGAAUGAAACAUUGCUAUGGAAGUAAGUGAAUGCCUUACACUGAAGAUGUCAAAUGUGGAGUUGACAGCCAGGAUCCUCAACUACUGUACACAGUUUUGGACAAUUACUGGUUAAUACAGAAAGCUUAGCAGAGGAGGACGUACUUUAACCUGUCUUUCCCAGAUGGGAGAUCUGAGGUACAGGGAUAACGAAUGACCAGCUGAGGUAAGAAGCCUCCCC